UACGUAGGGUGCAAGCGUUGUCCGGAAUUAUUGGGCGUAAAGAGCUCGUAGGCGGUCUGUCGCGUCUGCUGUGAAAACUCAGGGCUUAACCCUGAGCUUGCAGUGGGUACGGGCAGACUAGAGUGCGGUAGGGGAGACUGGAAUUCCUGGUGUAGCGGUGAAAUGCGCAGAUAUCAGGAGGAACACCGGCGGCGAAGGCGGCGCUCUGGGCCGGUACUGACACUGAGGAGCGAAAGCGUGGGUAGCAAACAGG
rnacentral:rRNA from 1 species